UGGGGUUCAGCAUAAUCUUAGACAUAAUGCAGCUAGAAUGAUGAAUCAAUAUCUCAUUUUAUUGUCAAAUAAUAAAUGUCAUUACAUGAGUUGAAAAAUUAUAAAGAAAAGUUUCAUCGCAACACACUUACGUUUGGCUUAUAGGGCACUCUUCUUUCAAUCUUCCACUGCACUAAAUCCAAUUAUCUUUGUAUCUCAAUCUCAUACAAUCAAGAUGGCGAUCAAAUAGCUGUUGUGGUAUGGCCUUAGUGAA
rnacentral:lncRNA from 1 species